AGCGUGGGAAAUUUUAUCAUCGCAAAAUUUUAUAUCAGCACAACAGCUAUACCAAAAGCGAUACCACGUCGAUGGCCGAAAUGAUUUUUGGUUCUGCACCUAUAGUCUUCCAGGACAGCAGUUUGAAGUAGCCAACAGUAGCAGCAACAGCAGUAAAAAAGUAUCCACUUCCACCUACUUGGGCUAUGAACUGCCAAGUAUCGGUCAGAAUGCACUAUACAACGGCCGACAUACGUCGGAAAGUGAUCGUAGCUCCAUAGGUACAACGUCACUACGGUCGUUUACUGUUACUUCGUCCACUUUGACGUAAUAUGAUACUUCGUACAACCACAGACAAAGGCCACCACUGCCAAUCGAGUUUGCGCAUUUGGAGCAUCUGGCAGAUCCGAGACUUUCAACCAAAAGUGGCCUUGACUCAGGGUAUGGUGGAACGGAACCUUGGGCGUUUUCAUCAUGUCAACCACGCCAUCGCACCGAAGCAGUCUAGCAUCAAUUUCUAGUGAUUUCGAAGACUUAGUUUAGAUACCAGUAUUGAUAUUCCACAGCCUCUGAAUUGCACAAGUUUAGACAACUAAAGUCAGUAUGGCAGCUUUCAUCGAGGUCAAUACGAACAUUAGCAGUCAAGUGACAGCGAGCGAUGGUUGCGCCGGUGGUAAAAAUCGACGGAAUAGUGAAACCAUAGUACUGACUAGACAAAAAGCGUUUAGCGGGGAAGUUCUUUCCACUGCAACCAAUUAUCGCGGGAGACCUUUGCACAAAAAGGCACGUCUAGGAAUUGUGCUGUGCGUUCAACUAAACGAUGACAUGCUGCAGGAAAUUGAAGCAUUCAGCUCGGAACACAUGAGUAUAUUUGAAUCAAUGCUGUGUCGUUUAAGAAUGGCGGCGGAAAACGCAAGCUACAGGUAGCCGCAGUUACUCCAGAUAAUGCUGGCUGCCGGCAUAACGCAGCAGUGCCCAGUGGAUUUUUUUACUGUACCCAAACUGGUAAAUUCCAUGUGGCUAACGCUAAGCAGUGGUGCGUGCACUCUUGGAACUCAAAGCAGUACAUGUUCUAAUCGGGCUGCGCUUAAAAUUGAUAAUAAUUUUAUGAACGAUCUUUGUUACCUGCUAUUGCUGGCCGACAUUAAGGAUACACAUUUUUUCAUCAGCGCACUACUAACGGCGAUAUUAAAGUACUACCUGGGCUGGGUGAGUACCAUUGCCCCUGUGAGUGGUUCUGCUUACGAAGCAGAUACAGAUUGUGCUACAAUACAGCGAUAGAAGGAGAAGCGGUGCAAACUAACUACCAAUCACCCGUACAUCGUACUGUGGGUCCAAUGUAGCUAUUUGUAUGGAACCGUCGGACACCCGGUGAAACUGUCGAGAAAAAUCUGCAGAAGCCCCCAAUUGAGCAAUACCAUGGAUAAAAUUCUAAAUGAGCUAUCUUACUUCGUAAGAUGUAGCGAGAUCAAGCGGGUUGUCCUCGUAGAGGCUUUCGACGAGUAUAAAGCUGAGCAGGCAUUCGCUGCGCAAAAGAUUAUAAAUAAUUAUUCGCUCCUUAUGUUAAUUGUUAACUUUAACCAAAAAUGCUUUUCCUUGACCUGAUGUACAGUGUAAACUAACAGAUUUUCGUACGUAAUAAAACUGCAAAAUUACGAAAAAUACAAAUUAUAGCAACAGUGUCAUAAGGUUUGGUGGAAAUAACUGUGGAGAAAAUAGAGGAUUACACAAAUCCCCCAGAUUCUUGCGAUCCGGAUCUGCGAUGGUUCGUUCGGCAACCACGACCAAAGACUAAACUUCGAUGGCUGGUAAUGAAUAAGUCUUGCUGAGAGCGAACUGGUCGGAGUUAUGUCAGACCGGGCUAAGUGACAAUAUAUUGAUUUCUAGAAAAGCAAGUUUAAAGUUUAAAUUGCAGCAUACUUUAUAUUGUAUAUACUAUUGAAGAAAGGAUAACAGUUGACUGAACAGUUCCAGAUUGCCAUUCGUAUUAGUUUCCAGACUAGUGUCCGACUGAAAGUUGGGAAGGGCGUAUGCAAGUUGGUUACUUAUAUGGCUGAAACUAGAAUAUAGUUAUUGCGUUUUUUGCUAUAGCAUACCAUCCGAGAAUACACAAUUGAUAGCUUCAUAAACUAACCGGUUCCAUGUAAUUUUAC